CAUUAAAUUGUAUUAAAUUGUA
rnacentral:snRNA from 1 species